UACGGGAGGCAGCAGUGGGGAAGUAUUGCACAAUGGGCGCAAGCCUGAUGCAGCCAUGCCGCGUGUAUGAAAAAGGCCUUCGGGUUGUAAAGUACUUUCAGUCGUGAGGAAGGUGUUAAGGUUAAUAACCUUAGCAAUUGACGUUAGCGACAGAAGAAGCACCGGCUAACUCCGUGCCAGCAGCCGCGGUAAUACGGAGGGUGCGAGCGUUAAAUCGGAAUUACUGGGCGUAAAGGGCACGCAGGCGGUUAAAUUAAGUUGGAUGUGAAAUCCCCGGGCUUUAAACCUGGGAAUGGGCAUUUCAAAGACUGGUUUAGCUAGAGUCUUUGUAGAGGGGGGUAGAAUUCCAUGUGUAGCGGUGAAAUGCGUAGAGAUGUGGAGGAAUACCGGUGGCGAAGGCGGGCCCCUGGACAAAGACUGACGCUCAUGUGCGAAAAGCGUGGGGGAGCAAAACAGGGAUUAGGAU
rnacentral:rRNA from 1 species